rnacentral:lncRNA from 1 species
GGCCAUCCAAGUAUACAACAAAAUUCAAGUGCAUUCCUUAGAGCCGUUUGUGUCUUUUAGUUCCUCUUCCCAAUGCUCCCCUUCAAGCAUUAGGGGCCCAUCAUAAAGCUGGCAUCUAACGUUCACCAAAUUGUUUUGGAAGCUGUUAAUGGAACAAGCAGGCGAGCACAUCAACGUUGACUGCAGCGCUGGAGUUUGUGUAGCAGAUCAGUAAUUGUUGUUGGGGCCAUGCAAUCCCCCAUCCUGUAACCGAACCCCAAAACCAUCGCACUUCCUUACAUUUGGCUGCUUCGGCCACUGCUAACGGCGUUGCGGUUUUCAAUACCAAGUUAUUUGACUUCAACACCGAUGAAGAGGCCAUGCCAAUGUUGCGGUAUGCCCGCCGUCAUGCACCUGUGCACCUGCAAAAACCCAUCCGCGAA